rnacentral:tRNA from 1 species
GCUGUGUCUCAAGGGUAGAGUGCUUGCCUAACAUGCAUGAGACCCUGGGGUUUGAUCCCCAGCGCUGCA